rnacentral:rRNA from 1 species
AGCGAACGCUGGCGGCAGGCUUAACACAUGCAAGUCGAGCGGGCAUCUUCGGAUGUCAGCGGCAGACGGGUGAGUAACACGUGGGAACGUACCCUUCGGUUCGGAACAACUCUGGGAAACUGGAGCUAAUACCGGAUACGCCCUUAUGGGGAAAGGUUUACUGCCGAAGGAUCGGCCCGCGUCUGAUUAGCUAGUUGGUGGGGUAACGGCCUACCAAGGCGACGAUCAGUAGCUGGUCUGAGAGGAUGAUCAGCCACACUGGGACUGAGACACGGCCCAGACUCCUACGGGAGACAGCAGUGGGGAAUAUUGGACAAUGGGCGCAAGCCUGAUCCAGCCAUGCCGCGUGAGUGAGGAAGGCCUUAGGGUUGUAAAGCUCUUUUGUCCGGGACGAUAAUGACGGUACCGGAAGAAUAAGCCCCGGCUAACUUCGUGC